CCUACGGGUGGCAGCAGUCGAGAAUCAUUCACAAUGGGGGAAACCCUGAUGGUGCGACGCCGCGUGGGGGAAUGAAGGUCUUCGGAUUGUAAACCCCUGUCAUGUGGGAGCAAAUUAAAAAGAUAGUACCACAAGAGGAAGAGACGGCUAACUCUGUGCCAGCAGCCGCGGUAAUACAGAGGUUUCAAGCGUUGUUCGGAAUCACUGGGCGUAAGGCGUGCGUAGGCUGUUUCGUAAGUCGUGUGUGAAAGGCGCGGGCUCAACCCGCGGAUGGCACAUGAUACUGCGAGACUAGAGUAAUGGAGGGGUAACCGGAAUUCUCGGUGUAGCAGUGAAAUGCGUAGAUAUCGAGAGGAACACUCGUGGCGAAGGCGGGUUCCUGGACAUUAACUGACGCUGAGGCACGAAGGCCAGGGGAGCGAAAGGGAUUAGAUACCCUGGUAGUC
rnacentral:rRNA from 1 species